UACGUAGGGGGCAAGCGUUGUCCGGAUUUAUUGGGCGUAAAGAGCGUGUAGGCGGCCAUGUAGGUCCGUUGUGAAAACUCGAGGCUCAACCUCGAGACGCCGAUGGAAACCAUGUGGCUAGAGUCCGGAAGAGGAGAGUGGAAUUCCUGGUGUAGCGGUGAAAUGCGCAGAUAUCAGGAGGAACACCUGUGGUGUAGACGGCUUUCUGGACCAUAGCUGACGCUGAGACACGAAAGCGUGGGUAGCAAACAGG
rnacentral:rRNA from 1 species